CAAUAGCAUAUAUUAACGUUGUUGCAGUUGAAAAGCUCGUAGUUGAACUUUUGGUAGGAGCGACCUGGCCUUGGGCGCAUUCCCUUGUUUGCCGUGUGUCGUGUCUGGCCAUCCUUUUCUUCGUUUUUCGGAGGAAUCUUUUACUGUGAGUAAACUGGAGUGCUCAAAACAAGACGUUUGUUUGGUACAUUAAAGCAUGGAAUAAUAAGAUAGGACCUGGUUACUAUUUUGUUGGUUUGCAUAGCUAGGUAAUGAUUAACAGGGACAGUUGGGGGUAUUCGUAUUUAAUUGUCAGAGGUGAAAUUCUUGGAUUUAUGAAAGACGAACGACUGCGAAAGCAUUUACCAAGGAUGUUUUCAUUAA
rnacentral:rRNA from 1 species